UGGGGAAUUUUGCGCAAUGGGCGAAAGUCUGACAGAGCCACGCCGCGUGUAUGAUGAAGGCCUUUGGAUUGUAAAGCUCUUUCUUUGGGGAAGAAAGGGUGGUUUGUUAAUACUGCUUUUAUUUGUUUUUACAAUAGAAGGAGGCGCGGUAA
rnacentral:rRNA from 1 species